rnacentral:rRNA from 1 species
ACAUGCCUACAAAAUAGUGUUAAUGCAUUGGAUCCCAUUAUAACUCCACAAUUAAGCGCACUCAGGCUAGAGUAGUCCUGGGAUGGGUGACAGCCUGAGAAGUCCUAGUAUUUUACAUGCC